AAGCAUAUAGUUACCUAUAUGGAAAGUUAUCUUUCUUUCUUCCCGCUUCCAAGAGCACCUCUGAUGCUGAAUUGCUUCAGCAUGCGGGUGAGAAGAGAAAUAACCGAGUGAGGAAGUCCUUAGGAGAGCCAAGGCCACUGGGCUUUUGCUCUCAGGACAGAACAAGUAGUGUCCUUGUAGAGCUGUUCUUCCUGGCCCCCGGUCUGGGCAAUCAUCUGUUUACCUAGGGCCUUAUAUCCAAGCUAAACAAUUAUUUUGACUAUUCAUUAAGCCCUUGUUUAACUUCAGCAGCUUUAUUUUAUUUUUUUUUUCCUGGCAAAGGAAAGGUGCGGUGGAAGCCGGGAGGAAGCGUUGACAGCUCAAAGUCGUGUCCUCAGUCUGUUCUCAUUGUGUUCCAAAAGGAAGCAAACAGCAAGGGAAUUCUUAUUUUUGAAAGGUCUGCUGCUCUUUUGCUCCUACGGAGCUGAAAACAUAACAUGUCGUCCUUGGUCCUGAAGGCUGCCGACACAGGCAGAGAGGGCUGAGCUGAGUCAUUCCGGGAGCCAAGACCCAGAGACAGUCCCUGACCCUCCCAGGGGACCCGGCUCCGGAUGGACCUCUUGCCCACUUGGCCUCUCACACGGUGUCUGUUUAAUAAAAGCCUGUGCUAGGGAGCAGACGUCGAUGUGGCCUCUUAUGUAACUGGCAGGGAGGGUGGAGCCGGACAGUGAUGACAACUUACAGUGGCUGAAACACGGGCCAUAUGAGAAGAACCAGACUCCUGCCCCAUCGAGUGGGGCCAAGGUAUACAUCAAGAAAAAAAAAUAGUCUACCAAGUGUUUCUCGGGAGGAGAAGAUGGAUAUGGCAACCAGAAUUAAUGUUAUUAGGAAGAUCCAACCCAAAUCAGCAUUGCAAACCAGAAGCAUUGAAGAAAACCAUUUUCGGGCAUUGUUUGUUUUCACGUGCUUCUGGACUUCCUGAUUCUGGCCGGGAACAAGGUCAAGCUUGCCAAAAUACUACAAGAAAAGAUGUUGAUGAUCACGGAUAGGAAAUACUCCCGGUCCCAGGAGAUGGCCCAUUCUUAGGAGACUUCCACACCAAGUCUGCCGCCAUGAGAAGGCACAUCGGGCCACCACAUUCACUCUUGGUUCAGCACCAGGAAGCAUCGGAGGUUCUGCAUUCCAGACCUCUGUGGCAGCAGCUGGGAUCCUUUGAAGCGCCAAGUGUUGUUCAUUUGUUUUGUUUGUUUUUCGGAAAGGAAACAGAUGGAAAAAAACCAGACUUGGUAGGGAAGUGGUGGAAUCCAUCAUAUUAUAUCCACGUUAUAGAACAUCGUGUUGUUAUUAAAAACAGUAACUGAUAUUUCCGUAGUAAUAGCUAUUGCUUACUGUGCCUUCAAGUUGUGAGCUGGGUAGUGUUUGAAGUAUUUUCCACGAAUGAGCUCAUUUAAUUCCUUAAUAACUCCCUCAGAUAAAUACUAAUCUCAGGACCGUGCCGCGAGAGACAGAGAUGGGAAAUUUCUUUGCCCGUGGGUAGCGAGCAUGAAGCCAGAUGUGAAACCAAAGGGACUAGACUGGCAGCUUGUGCCUUUAGCUAAUGGGAACAAUCCCUGUUCAGAGACGCCUUGACCUGAAGUGAGAGCUGAGAGUCAUUGUUAAAGAAGGUUGAGAUAAUAUAGUAUGCAAAAACUGUAUCUCAAAAGAACUAGCUUAACGGGCCUGAAGAGAUGCUUAUUACCUGUGCUCUUAUCCAUUCUGGGCUUAGUUAAAUCUCAUGUUUUGUUCGGUAGGAACAGUAAGAUCUGCCUUUCUACCUCAUAGGAGGUAGAAAUCAAGUGAACUUGCACAGAUUAAAUGCUUUUCCAAUGAUUUCACAAUAAA